rnacentral:lncRNA from 1 species
UGCGCUGUCAUAGGUUGCCAACUCCUCCAGUACCACAUCAUGCAUGUGAAUGGCUGGUAAUUCAUUUUUGAGAUGUGUAAAGAUGUGUUGCCCAGAUAUGAAGCCCAAGAGGGAGGGUGAAUUAGAUCUUUUUAAAAUUUUAAACAUUAAACUACUUAAGCAAUGUGCCAAGGCGAAGUAUGAAGUGUAUCAACUUGCAAUAAAAAUAAAAUCAAACACAAAUAAGAAGUAAGCAAGUAAUAAGCAUAAAGAACAAAAAA